rnacentral:rRNA from 1 species
CCCUUAGAUGUUCUGGGAUGCACGCGCGUUACACUGAUUCGUUCAACGAGUUUAUGACCUUGCCUGAUGAGGUGGGGAAUCUUUUCAAAUCGCAUCGUGAUGGGGAUAGAGUAUUGUAACUGUUAGUCUUCAACGAGGAAUUCCUAGUAAGUACGUGUCAUCAGCUCGUACUGAUUAUGUCCCUGCCCUUUGUACACACCGCCCGUCGCUCCUACCGAUUGAGUGCUCAGGUGAAUAGUAUGGACUGCAUCAGUGUUCGGUCUCCGAAUGUUGACGCGAGAAAUUCUGUGAAUCUUAUUGCUUAGAGGAAGGAGAANUCGUANCA